rnacentral:rRNA from 1 species
CGGCGGCGGCGUAAGGACUGCGGCUCGGGAUUUGCGAAGAUGAGAGGAGCCAGGAGCGGGUGGGCGGAGAGGGAAAGGGUAGAGGGAACGGAAGCGGUUUGGGAGUCUCUACCGGAGCUGGACGAAGGCGCGGCGGCGGGCGCGGCGGUGGCGCCGUACGGCGAGCCGCCGGAGGGCGAGGUACGGGAGGCAGCCGGCGAGGCGGCGGGCGGCGCGGGGCGAUUAGAGGUCCCACGGCGACCUCGACCCCACGACGCGCCCUUACAGCGACGACGGCGACGUGUCGCGCCACCGGCGCCGCUCCGACUGAAGCGCCGACUCGUGCCGCAGGGCCUCGAGGAGGCGAGAGAGAGUCCCAUAGGAGACAGCGUGGAUAGGGCCUGAAAUUGUUAGCAUGGUAGCUACUUCGACAACAGACAGAAAAGCCAAACCUACUUUUACUACUAUGCACUUUGUAAAUGUGUUACAGAAUUCCACCCGCGAACCGAUAACACCUAUACGAGGUUUGUAUAACGAGCUGUAGACAGAAUCGGCAUCACAAUACAGAAUCUGUCAGUUAAGGAACAUUGUAAUAAUAAAGAUCAUAGUCCUUGUGAAGUUGCGACAUACGAAGGUACGAAUAUUUAAAUUUCUUAUUUCCACGACAACGCUACAAGUUAGAGGACUACAUAUGAAAUAAACAAACAAAAUAUAUCUCUACCCAGAGAGACGAGGUUCCACUAUUUUGCGCCCUUCUGGACGAGCACAGCACGUUAGUCAGACUAUCUUAAACAUCUCAUCACUUGAUUUACUUGAAGAAAACCAUGCCUCAUUAAAUAAACACUGUGCAUGUUAGUACCAAGACGACCCGGAAAGGUUCAAAACUCUAGUAUAGAAAAUAGAACUAUAUUUAUACGUUCCUGUUUAACGUCUCACUACCGACACAAACAAAUGUUGUCAAGACUUACGGUAAAUAUAUCAUUACUAGCUACUCUUUGCUC